rnacentral:rRNA from 1 species
GGGGUAAAAAGUUUGUAUUUGGUUUUGCGUCCCAAGCUUUCGGUACCCCGUUUGUCGGUGCAACUGGCAUGUCGUGGCAUGUCCUGUCGGUGGUGACCGGGUUUCGGGCACUGAAGGUCUUUGAUGUGCCCGUUUGAAAUUCCGGUUGCCGACUAUAUCCUACCGCGGUGCUUUUCAUUGAGUGUCGAGGUAGGCCGACACGUUCACUUUGAACAAAUUAGAGUGCUUAAAGCAGGCCAAAAUCUCCGCCCUGAAUAGUGGUGCAUGGAAUGAUGGAACAGGACCUUGGUUCUAUUUUAUUGGUUUUCGGAACACAAGGUAAUGAUCAAUAUGGACAGGCGGGGGCAUUCGUAUUGCGACGUUAGAGGUGAAAUUCUUGGAUCGUCGCAAGACGCACUAGAGCGAAAGCAUUUGCCAAGUAUGUCUUAAUUGAUCAAGAACGAAAGUUAGAGGUUCGAAGGCGAUCAGAUACCGCCCUAGUUCUAACCAUAAACGAUGCCAGCCAGCGAUCCGCCGAUGUUCCUCCGAUGACUCGGCGGGGAGCUUUCCCCGGGAAACCAAAGCUUUUGGGUUCCGGGGGAAGUAUGGUUGCAAAGCUGAAACUUAAAGGAAUUGACGGAAGGGCACCACCAGGAGUGGAGCCUGCGGCUUAAUUUGACUCAACACGGGAAACCUCACCAGGUCAGGACAUUGGAAGGAUUGACAGAUUGAUAGCUCUUUCUUGAUUCAGUGGGUAGUGGUGCAUGGCCGUUCUUAGUUGGUGGAUCGAUUUGUCUGGUUAAUUCCGAUAACGAACGAGACUCUAGCCUAUUAACUAGGCGAUCCUGGUAUCGUAGCUACCAGCGAUACAUAUUCUUCUUAAGGGGACAGGCGGCUUAUAGCCGCACGAGAUUGAGCAAUAACAGGUCUGUGAUGCCCUUAGAUGUCCUCGGCCGCACGCGCGCUACACUGAAGGAAUCAGCGUGUGCGUUCCCUUGGCCGAAAGGUCCGGGUAACCCGCUGAACCUCCUUCGUGCUAGGAAUUGGGGCUUGCAAUUGUUCCCCAUGAACGAGGAAUUCCCAGUAAGCGCGAGUCAUAAGCUCGCGUUGAUUACGUCCCUGCCCUUUGUACACACCGCCCGUCGCUACUACCGAUUGAAUGAUUUAGUGAGGUCUUCGGACUGGCGGUAAGCCUUAUCGACUUGUCCGUUUUGCUGAACGCUGGAAAGAUGACCAAACUUGAUCA